rnacentral:lncRNA from 1 species
CGAGCUGCCAGAUAACAGGCUUAAUAGCCUUUUAGACACUUCCUCCAAAUAUCAUCAACCCACCCCGAUGCAAUCUGACAUACAAAAUAUGUCAUGCCAUUAUGCAAUUAAUAGUACAUACAAUUAGAUAUCAUAAGUCAUGCUCGGUAUAGAAAUUAGACAGACAAAUCACACAUAUAAGGGUCUAAGUAAACCUUACCGUAGGUCCACAGUCGACUUGGGCGACCUGUGCAACCUUACAGAACUUUUCAGAAAAAUAGACUUACACGCCCAUGUGGCGCACUCAGCCCAAAUUGGACUUGGCCACGUGAUCAAUUUUUAAUGUAACCCGUGCUAGUUAAUUAUUCAUAUAUAUUUUCACUAUUUACUUAUAUGUUCCUUCAAAGCUGUCUACUUGAGUCUCUGUUACUAAAUUAUUUAUAUCUUGAGCUACAGAAUUCCGAAUUAAGAUUUGCUUAAUGUCUUUGAAACUAAACUCAAACAGCUUUCUGCCAUAAAAUUUUCAUAAUUUUUGGUUUAGCUUUCUAUCAUAAAAUCUUCAAACUUACCCCUGUUCUUCUGUCUGACAGCUUCAUCCCUUCUUUGCUAAAAAUUAAUUAUCUCUUAGUAAAAAAUUUGGAUUAUGUUUCAAUUUCCUUCUAUUGAAAAUAUACUCAUUAAUAAUUUAAACAUGAAAAUUUUAUCCCCUAAUUAUUAUUCUCUAAUUUUUGAUGAUUUUCCAAAGUCAGAACAGGGGAACUCGAAUUCAUUCUGACCUUGUAUCACAAAACCUAUUAUAUCUCACGAUUUAAAAUUCCAUUACUUACACCAUUUCUUCUAUGAGAAACUAGACUCAAUAAUAUUUAAUUCCAUAUUUUAUUCAUCCUCUAAUUUGAUUUCCACAAUUUAUGGCGAUUUUUCAAAUUUAGCUUAUUGCUGCUGUCCAAACAUCAAGCAAUUUUGGCUUUUUACUGAAUCUCUUUUUUUUUUGCGUUUCGGGUAUACUCCUAGUUUUGUUUAAUGCUAAAACAGUCCCUCAGCACUCUAAAGGCUAUAAUUAAGACACUCAACAUCAAUUUAAUGGAUUUACAAGUGAAUUGGCAAGCAGGAACGAACAAAAACCCAACUUACCAUUAACGAUAACUCUCCGUUUAACUAUUGUUAAGAUGAGAACACUGAAUUCACUAGUCCAAGCCUCCCCCUACGCCCAAAUCACAGAGAAAAAACAUUACCACUUCAGUCAUUAAGAGAUUCAUGACAGAAACGAAGAGAAACACUUACCGAAACUAAGCGAGCACUAACCGCGUGCGAAAACAAAGGAAAAUAAAUGGAUUAUGGAAAAAUAAAAAAGAAGGAAAAGAAGAGAAAGAUGGAAAAACUCAGAGAAUUUCGACAAGAGGAGAGGGAGAAGAAUAGACGACAAAAUUUUUUUUAGAAAAGAGAGUCAAAAUUCAGUUAUGGGAAAAAAAUAAAAUAAAAUUCUGAUAACCCCCAAAAUCCCUUAAUCUUCUCCCCUAAUUGCCACUACGCAUCCACUACUCAGAAUCCCCCUAUUACUCAAUUCUAUCCUGAAAUCUAAACAAAAAAAAAUACCCUUGCCUGCAUAGGGAUUUGAACACAAGACCUCCACCAUAAUAUCACACCAUUUAACCACCAAACUCGCAGGCCCAUUCUAAUGUAAUUUACCCAACAAUCAAAUAAAAGCCUACUGAACAAGAGUAAGGCCUGAUUCAUUCAAAAUACCAAAAUUUGCCCAAGCGAAGGCUUGAACUUGGGACCUCCCAAACACUCCCAAAACACAUAACCACUAAAGCUGACAAAUAUUUGUGUUAUAUUAUCACAAUAACGAUAUUAGAAAUUUUGGGGCGUUACAUCUGGUUUGUGCUUCUAUAAUUCAAUUUCAAUUUGCUUUCAUAAACCAAUUAAUUAUUAUAAUCAAUAUGACUAUGCAUCGAGAUAAUGAUAUCUUUCCCUAUAAACUUUGAAUAAUGGAUUCAAUUAGUGAUAUUUGGAAUAUGUGAUAAAUAUUCAAACUUGUGUUUGCUAUGUAUAUAAAUAUUGAGACAUUGAUAUUUUAGUGAUAUGUGUUACAAAGGUGAUUAUGAUUUUAAUGCCCUGUUAAAUGAUGUUAGACAUAGAUUGGGUAUAGUUGGCAUUGGCAUGCCAUAGGGUCAUUGAUAUGGUGAUUUACUAGCCAUUGUUGUUGGGCAAUUCAAGAUGACAAAAUAAACAGUGUAGAAAAAUAGUAAAAGCCAUCAUUGUCGGGCAACCUGGGAUGGUGGAAUAUACAAAUUCUAAAAAUCAUCAUUGUCAGGCAACCCGAGAUGAGAAAAUAAAAUAGAUCCAAGUAUCCAUCCUAAUGUCUAUUGUCGAAUAAUAAUGAUCAGAAUGAAUAAGCAUUGAAAUUGAUAUUAAAAUGUGAAAUGAAUAAAAAAGUUGGAAAAUGUUAUGCUAAGUUAAAGUAGUAAUUAUCAAAGUAAUUGAUACUUGUUAUAUAUGCUUAGUUUAUUCUUAAUGCAAUAUAUUGGAAUCUUAAUUAUAUUAGCAUCACUGAAUAUUCAAUACUCAGCGUAAGAUUAUGUUUGUUUUUGUGCGCAAGAUGUAAGUAGAGUGGUCAAACAUCCAAUUUAAUAACUCAGCUUGGGACAUGCCAUAUUAUCUAUUUUGUAUGUAUAUAUAUGUGUUUGAGUUGAAAUGUCAUGUACCUAGAUUGUUUUGGGCAUAUUGCUUAAGUGGCCAUUUUGGUAUAUUUGGUAUAUUGGCCUAUAAGGUUUUAUAAGUUGAAUUUUAAUAUUUAGUUAAUAGAUAAUUAUGCUAGUUUUUAUAAGUUUGUUUAUGUGAAUUAGUUAGUUAAAUGAUGUUGCAUUGAUGAUUAUAAUUUGAUGAUGUUUGGUUGUGUUUAUAUGUGUUUGAUGGCCUUAAUUGGAUGUAAAGUUUAGGUAUGUUUAAAGUACCAUUUGGUAUGGUUUGAACACUUGAAAAUGUGCAUCUAGAACUAUUUUACCAUUGAGUCUUGAGACCAUAAGAACAAAAUUUACUUUAUAUUUUGAUCCAUAUACUUAGUGUCUCGAAACUUGACAAGCUAGUCUUGAGACAGUCCUAUUAAAGCCUCGAGACAAGUGGUCUUUGUCUCGAGACAGGUGACCUUUGAAGCUAAAUUAGUUUUACCCUGCUCUAGGUCUUGAGACAAGAAUCACUUAUCUUUAGACAUUUAAACAUCAAAACAAAAUUAAGGAAAACAAGGGAGGUUGGUAUUGAGACAUAAAAAACCUUGCAUUGAGACACCACCUCUAAUGUCUUGAGAUAUAUUAACAUCGAAACAAAAAUACCUAAAAUUAAAUAAGGCUUGUCACAAGACAAGAAGUCAUCUGUUUCAAGACACAACAUUGAAAUUUGAUAGUUGAGUUUGGAUUCGAGUCCUAACUCUAAAUUGAACCCUGAUAACCUCGUAACAUGAUGAAUUGAAUCCUAAACUCUAUGAAUGCAUAUAUGUGAGUAUGAUUGAUGAUUAAGUUGGUUUGAAUGAUAAUUAUAAUUUAAAAUUUAUGAUUAUGUAAUGAGAUAGCAUUAGUUGCUUUGACAACGUACUGUGACAUCACGUAUUUGGAUUUGGUGUCCGGGCGGGUGUGGGGUGUUACAGGAGUUCUAAUAUAUUAAAAUUUGAUAAUGUUAAUGAAUAAAAUAAAAAUAUUUAAACUUGAAUGAUCAAAAUAAAAACACACUAAUAAUUAAGUGCUUAGAAAAAAAAUAAUUACCAAAAACAAAAAAAAAGGAAAAAGCCUUUUCCAUUGGAAAUGGAAUGCAAACAUAAAAUCGUAACGAAAAAGCCAUUCCUUCCCUUCCACUAAGGUUCAUAGACAUGAAGGCUCCAUAUGUUUUGAUGUCUUCAUUUCCCAAUUACAAACAAUAAAACAAUGGUGAAGUGGACCUAUGCGUACGUUUCCAUGUAUUUGUUAGACUUACUACAACAUUGAUUUUGACAAUAGAGAAUGAGAGUUGCCAAAUGGGAUCUAAAACAUGGACCAUUCAACAAUUUUUUUCAAACACUGUUGAGGAAUUUUCACAUGGCAUGGUGGUGGCCAAUGAGAGAAUGUUUUCAUGGGAUGUCUCUUGUAUACUAUUUCAGAAAAAUACCACAUACCAUUAAUUAAUCGUAUUGAUUAGAUGAAAUUCGGGAAUAAAAUAACCACUCUUCUAAAUAUUUGAACUAAGGUAGACAACCGAAGUCUAAUUAAUAAAAUUAUUGUUUAAUGUAUCAUUUGGUACUCGAGUUUAUCUUUUUUUUUAAUGCGAUAUCUGUAUUAGUUUUUAUUUAAUUUGGUAUUUAUAUUUGACAAGUAUAUUUUAAUGCCUAAAGAUACUUUUGUUAACUUUUUAGUAUUUAAUUUAGGUUUUAGGGAUAAUUGGAUGAAAGUUAAUUGCUAUUAUUCUUAAGUUUGAACUUUUCAUGAUUCGGUUAAUAGAAUAAAUUUAGUAUUAUUUAAUUUUACGUUUAAAUUGUCAAAUACAAACCACUAAAUUAAAUUCCUAUUAUUUGCAUAUAUAUAUUUUUAAAUUGAUCAAAAUAUAAAAAAUUAAUAUUUGUUGUUUUACAAAAGAAACGCGUUUUUGGUGAUUUCACAAUCACUCGGCCGAUAAGUAACACUAAUUUAAUCAAAAGCGCUCUCUAUAUAUAUAUCAUUGGCUUUAUUCAUUAUAAGGAUGAAGCAACAUGUGAAAGUGUCUCCCACAAAAAAGAACACGUAGAAGAAUAAUGAAGCAAAUUGGAAGGUUUUAGUAAUAAUGUAAGAGUUUUGGGGCAUGUGAAAGGGCUAAGCGAAAUAGCAAUAUCUAAGGGACAAAGCUUUGUUUAAUAGUUUUGGUUUUGCCUCUUAGUCAAACAACACAAAGAUGAUAGGGCAUUGGCCAUUUUGGCUAGCCCUGCACCACCCAUAUUUUACUCUCAUUUACUUCACCUUUCCCUCUUAAUAAUUGAAGCUCAAUUCCAUUAUUUAUUUAUUUUUAUAUUAAAUUCAAAAUUAAAUAAUAUUUUAUGCCCAUUUAUUUAUUUAUAAGAAUAAUUGAUUUGAAUAUCCUAUACUCAUUUUACAAUUUUUGUUUUAUUUUAUAUUUUAUUUCAUGAAAUUUUAUUAUCAUAUGAUAUUUAGGAGUUGAAAAUUAAGGAGAGCCAAAUGCCGAAAACUGACAAAGUAUUUGAUCAUGAAGCCAAACAGAGGUCACAUGGAUUUAACUUAUUUCUACAAUUUUUCCGGCCUCCUUUUGAAUCAUGACAAAUUAUUGGGUCCCUUCCCAUGUUCACAGUUCAAUCUCCAAAUAAUUCAUCUUUAAUACAUUUUAUGUUUUUAUGAAAUUUAGAUGUAUAAAUAAUACUAUCUGAACUUUAUAUAUAUAUAUAUAUAUUUAUAAUGUGGAAUGCUUUAUGCUAUAUUUUUCAUAUUUGUAUCCUAUGAUUGCAUUGUGUUUAAUAUUGUCAUGUUUAUAUACUUAGGUUCUACUUGAGAAAAUGGAAAGAAAAUUCAAAUAGAUAGAAAAUUAUUAUUUUUAUUGUCGAGCUUAACCGCCAUGUACUCAGUUUCAGUGGUAGAUAAAGUGACUUUUCAAUUGAUUACAAGUGACGACUGCAGCACCAAUAACAAUAAAACCCUGCAAAACAUAUAACUUGAUAGUUUUUCUCUGCCUUUUCAUCACAACGAGGGAACCUUUGGAAAUCUUCAGAACUCCACUUUUAGUUGUGUAUUUGUACCAUUUUGAAUCAAGAGUACUCAACGAAAUCAAAUUUCUCUUCAAUUCUGGGAUAUGUCGAACGUCAUUAAGUGUUCUGGCAACUCCAUCAAACAUCUUAACUUUAAUCGUUCCAACACUUGCGAUUUUACACGAAGCAUUAUUUCCCAUCAAAAUAACACCUUCAGACACUGUUUCAUAAGUUGUAAACCAAUCUCGAUUGGGGUUCAUAUGGAAAGUGCAACCAAAAUCAAGGAUCCACUCCUCGCUCAUUUUAGAGUUGUUGGUAGAAGCAACUAGGAGUUCACCACCGCUGUAGUCUUCUACGACAUCAGCUUCACCGAAUUUUUCUAGUUGUUUUCCCUUUUGAUUCGCAGUCUCCAUUUUGAUCUUGUUCUGCAAUUUACAGUACACAGAUUUAAUGUGUCAUUUCUUCUUUUAGAAGUUACAGGUUUUACCUCUAUUUGAAGAUCUUGAUCUACCCUUAGAUUUACUGUGAGGAUUCUGUUCCUGUGUCCUUCCACGACCGUCAUCAGUUUUCCAUUCGUGUCUCCCAUGAAAAAUAAGACCCUCUUCCUAAGAGUCGAAUCUAACCACAAGAUGUUUCAUCUUGUCAUACGAGGGCAAAGAAGCAUAGAUUUCGUCAUCUAUGAGAGAUUCGCGACUAUACAAAAUCGUGUCUCUAAAGGUUGAAUAAGACGGGGGCAACGACCAAAGUAGAAUCAACCCUAAAUCUUCUUUAUCAUACUAAACCUCCAUAGCCUCUAAAUUCGAGAUAAUUUCUUUAAAUACAAUUAAGUGCUCGUGCACAGACGCACAUUCCUCCAAAUGAUGAGCAAAAAGAUGUUGUUUCAUAUGUAACUUACUAGUCAAGGUUUUUGACAUGCAUAGCUACUACAGUUUCCCCAUAAUGUAGCUAUGAUCUUCUCCUUCAUCACAUCCUGAAGAAUUUCGUUAGACAAAUGCAGAUGUAAUUGCGUCAAAACUUUUCGAUCUUUACACUUCUUUUCUUCCUUUAUCAACAUCGAAGACAUCUUAUCUAUCCCUAGCAGGGCAUCCUCCAAAUCCAUUUGCGCAAGAACUAAUUGCGUCUUUAUCUACCACAAUGUGAAUCUUGUGUUAUAAUCCAACAAUAGAAUUUCAUAUUUCAGUGAUGCCAUUACCGUGAUCGAGAUAAGCAACCCAAAAAGCUCUAAUUCCAAUUUGUGAAAAUUGAACAUCGAUAAUGACAAUGAAUCACAAAGAAAGAAAGAAAAAAAAGAAUACAUGGAAUUUUACGUGAAAACCUUUUUGGGAAAAAACUACAGGUAGAGGAGAAGAGAAUUCACUAUGUUGAAUUUGAAGAAUACAAUAGGAGAGACGAUUCCUUCUAUUUAUAGGUUUAAAAACAUUAUUCUAAUCAAAGUCUAAUAGAAACAUUAUCGUAAGGUUGAAACACCUUAUUAAAAUCAAUAUCAAAUAGAAGAGGUGAACUUCUAUUCAGGCCUCAGCCUUCGCCCUCACAGAUCUCCUAUCUUGCCACUUGUAUUUUAUUUUAACAGGAAUUUGGGUCACACAACUCUAACACUUUCACUCUCGAAAAAUUAAUUCAAUAAUUACAACAAACCUAAUAACACAACAUAUAUAAACAAUCGAUGCAAAUAAACCACAAUACGCAAGCAAAAAUAAAAGAUUGAGGCACACAAUUACGUGAAAAACCCUUUUAAAACAAAGGGUUAGAACCACGAAACUUUGAAAGUCCACCAAAAAAGGGCUGACUUUGAAAGGUAAACCACAAAAAAAUCAGAUUGUACACAUUAAAGAUCUCAAGUCUAAUAGCUACCAUAAAAAAUUAGCUCCAACGGACACCAAACAGACAUAUGAUCGAAGAAAAUAUGAAGGCUGGUCUGUGUAAAAAAAUAUGUUUUGUCUCUCACUUUUUCUUUUUCUUUAACUUGCAGCACACAUUUUCAUUUUUUUCAGCAACCCCAUAAACUCUAUAUAUGUAGAGAACAUAGUGGAACCCCCCAUGACUCAACAAAUCUCCCCUCCCUACAUAGUAGGAAUGUUCGCCAUACCGAUGAUCAAGAAACAAGCUUCAACCUUCCCUCUUGGUUAGGUCUUGGUCUAACAACUUAGCCUUAAGAACUUUUCAUAUCCAAUGAUACCUCACAUCAAUAUGUUUAGACGAGCAUUAAAAGUCAAAUUCUUACCAAGAUGAAUAGUACUUUGGCUAUCACAAAAAAAAAGAUAUACCUCUCUUGAGCAAAGCUGAGUUCUUGCACAAAUUUCUUCAUCUAAAGCAAUUCCUUACACGCUUUGGUAGCUGUAAUAAACUCAGACUCAGUAGUGGAUAAAGCAACACAUUUUUGCAAUCUAAAUUUCCAAACCACAGCUCCCCUUGCAAAAGUGAUCAAGUAACCCAAAGUAAAUUUUCUCGAGUCAAUGUCUCGACCUUAUUUGAAUCUGUAUAACCAACUAGAAUGAGUUUCUCAUUACUGCAACAAAGUUUCAAGUUGUAAGUGCCCCUAAGAUAUUUCAUAAGCCACUUCACCAUAUUUUAAUGCUCUUUUCUUGGAUUAGAAAGAAACUGACUAACAGUACCAAACACAUCGGCUAAAUCCAGUCUUAUGGAUACCAUUGCAUACAUCAAACUACCCAUGGCUAAAGAGUAAGGAACUUUCCGCAUGUUUUCCUUAUUUUGUUGAAAGACUUUUCUUGACACUCAAAUUGAACUACAUAACAAAGAAAUUUUCUCACCACUUUAAAUUUAUCCAUAUUAAAUAUUUGAAGUACUUUUUUAAUGUAGCUCUCUUGUGAUAACCAUAACUUCUUGGUCUUUCUAUCAUGUGUCAAUUGAAUGCAAAUAAUUUACUUUGCUGGACCCAAAUCCUUCAUCACAAAGGAAUUAAUCAACUCUUGCUUCAACAUGGAAAUUCUAAAAGCAUUAUGACAAAAAAUAAGCACAUCAUCAAUAUAGAGCAAUAGGAUAAUAAAAUCAUCACCAAAGAAUCUUUAAACAAAAACACAAUGAUCGAAAGUAGUCUUCUUGUAGCCAUGCUCCCCUAUAACAAACUCAAACUUCUUGAACCAUUGCCUCAAAGCUUGCUUCAAACCAUACAAACUCUUCUUCAAUCUACAUACGUAAACCACUUCCCCUUGUGCAACAAAACCCUCUAGUUGUUCCAUCUAAAGCUCUUCCUCCAAAUCAUCAUGAAGGAAAGUAGUUUUCACAUCUAUGUAAAUCAACCUCUAAGUCAUAAUAAGUAGUUAAACUCAAUAUAGUUUUGAUAAAUGACAUCUUCACAACUGGAGAAAAUAUUUCCUCAAAGUUAAUCCAUUUUUUCUGACUGUAACCCUUGACGACCAGUCUAGCUUUGUAUCAUGGAGUUGAAUUCUCUUCUUACUUCAACCUAUAAACCCAUUGAUUUUACAAAGCUCUCUUACCCUUUGGUAAUUUCACCAACUCAAAGGUAUGAUUGUCAUGCAAGGAUUGAAGUUCAUCCUUCAUAGUUUUAACCCACUUAUCUUUGCAUUCACUCUCUAUAUCCUCUUUAUAACACUUUGGUUAUCCCCCGUCAAUCUAAAUAACAUACUCAUCAAUAAAAUAUCUCAUAAAAUAUUGUUAAUCUCUAGUUGAUCUUUAAGAUGGAACUGUUGGUGGAGCUAUAAGUGCUUGGUGUUGAUUAUUCUCAACCUCAUCCGAGGGAGCAUCAAAAUAAACUAUACCCUAAUGGUCAUCCAUGUUAUCUUCUUGCAUAUCAUCCUAGAUAGGAUUCUACAAAGAAGCUAGAGGAACCGGAUCCAUGUUGAUUAAGUCACCACUACUUUGUGGAUCUAUCUUCUUAAUGUUUUCAAUGGUCUGAUCUUUAAAGAAAAACCACAUCUCUUUUUAUCACAAGUUUCUUUUCAAUCAAAUCAUACCAUUUGUAUCCAAACUCAUCAUAACUAUAACCAAUGAAGAUGCAUUAUUGAGUCUUGGCAUUUGAAUUAGAUCUCUUAUCUUUCAGAACAUGAACAAAUGCCUUGCAACUGAACAUACACAAGUGAUCAUAUGACACAUUUUUACUAAACCAAACCCUAUCUGGUACAUCACCCUGCAAAGGAAUAUUAAGAGACAAAUUAAUCACAUGUGCAACUAUAUACAAAGCUUCAGCCAAAAAGGAUCUAGACAACUUUGCAUCUGAAAGUAAACAUCUGACUCGCUCAAUGAAUGCUCGAUUCAUUCUCUCAGCCAACCCAUUCAACUGUAGAGUCUUCGGUAAUGUUUUUGAAUGUCUGAUUUCCUAUAACCGAUAAUAAACAUCAAAUGGUCCCUUGUACUUACCACCAUUAUCAGUAUAGAUACACUUCAACUUCUUCCCAGUCUCUUUCUUGAUAAAAGCUUGAAAUUGUUUGAACACAUCAAAUAUAUGGUCUUUUCUUUUAGAAGCAUAAACCCAAAGCUUCGUCGAAUAUUCAUCAAUGAAAUUCACAAAGUAAAGUACACCACCAUGUGACCUAACCUUCAACGGUUCAAAAACAUGAGAAUGAACGAACCUUAGGAAAUUUGACUUUCUUGAAGGAGGAUGAUGCUUAAACGAAACUCUUCUCUGCUUUCUAACUAAACAAUGAACAUAAUUAUUAAGUGUAGAAUUCUUCAAACUUGAAAAUAUAUUCUUCUUAACCAAACAACUAAGCCCCUUGUCGCUUAUGUGGCUAAUUCACUUAUGCCACAACUUCUUUGUUAGGAAAUGUGUCCAUAUUGUAGUAAACAUGUGACUGUUUUCUAUAUAUUUGAACGAUAAAUAAAUAAAUAAAGUUAAUUUCACAUUUCAUUGUUAUAUCUUUUGUGUUUUUGUCUUUCAUGUUUUGCAUACAUAGCAAAAUUGUGAUAAGAAAAUAUUAGUUCAUUGAUUAUCUAAGUUCAAACUGAUGAUAAGUGGCACUGUAAGAACGUUUAGAUUGUGAGAAAGACAACUUACAUUAGUAGAUAAUCUAAAUGAACCCGUAAUUCCAUAAAAUAAUCAAAGUGAGCAUUUGAUUCAAAUACUUAGAAGGAUCGUUAUGUCGUUUACAAUUCCAAUUGGAGAGAUGGCUAGUCUUGGCUGUUGGAGCAGUUGACUCCACGGGUAGAGACCUAGAUGUACAAAUUGGAAGAAUGAUAUAUUAGACUGGACCCAAGUUGAAUUAAUUCUAAAUCUGUUCGUGAAGUAAUUCACUCGUGAUGUUCAUAGUGUGAUUUACCUAAAUCCUAAGUUAGUCACUAAUCAUGCGUAUGUAACUCAUGCUUUGAUAUAAGUGGAGGCUUAUGCUCUAAAGAUAAUCAAGCUCAUAGUUGGUAUGUUGGGUACAUUACUUGUGUAUGGCAUGACUUUACUAGAAACAAUGGUAUUCAUAGCUUGAUUAGAGAGUUAAAGAUAUCCUCUCAUUGGCAUUGUGUGUAUUGAUAAAUAUGGAAUGUGGCCACAAGUUGCUUGUUCUCGAACGAGAAAUUUAUCACGGUUAUUUAUUGACUGUGAUCAUAUUAAACAUUAAGAAGACACAAUGGUGACAAUGAGAUAAAAUAUGAUUGUAUUGAGUGAACGGAUUUAACUCAAAGGAAUCAAGGAUAUCAUAUGAGGGUAACACACACAUGGCGAGGUCAUUGGACAAUACAGUUGGAUGAAUUUCUUUUGUAAAGAGUAUACAAUAAGGAGUUUUCAAUCAUGAUACUUAUUGUGGACUGACUUCAUGAUUAAAUAAAUUGUGAAUUAUCAGUACGAUGCUUUUGGACAUAAUUGCAAUUACUAGAGCCAAAUUGCAUAUGUCUGAUUGGUCCCUUCACUAGCUCAACAAAAACUUUAUCGGAUUGCAUUUGAAUCAAAAGGAAAUUUUAUGACUUUGGAAAUAAUUUAAUUAAGUCGAUUUAUUCGAUGUGGAAUUAAAUUGGACGGUCGCUAGAAUUGUUCAACUAGAUAAUUUGAUUAAAGAAUUAUCUUAAAAAAUUUAAUUUUGGAAAAUCUCAGUGACUUUUAGGAAAAUUAAUUUUGAUAACGGAAAAUUAAAUUAAUUAAAAUAAAUAUGACAUUUCUGGAAAUUAAUUUUCAAGUCAAACAAUUGGCCCAAUAGGUAAUUGAACUUAAAAAUUGGAAUUGAGAACGAAAGUUGGAACCGAGAGCCAAAAAUUGAGAUUGAGACCUAAAACUAGUCGAACCGGGCUCGAUAUGUGAAACCGAGUCGACGGUCCAACUGAUUGGGUUGUCACUAGCUUGGAUCGAACUGACUCGGGGUGCCGUGAGGGUGACGCAUCUACAAUGACUCCAUCGGGCACGAAGGUGCCGUUGACUGGGACAAUAGCAUUCUGGUGGCUGGCGGAUGGUCAGCGACGACGGUUUUUCUAUGGUGAAGCAGUGGAAGAUUUACACUUCUACUGGGACUCUGCCGAAUAAUUUGAUUUUAGAUUAACUAUUCUAAAAAUAAUAUUAUUUUAAUAAAUUGAUUAUUAAAUUUAAUUUAAUAUUUAUCUUAUAGAUAAAUAUUUUGUUAAUCAAAUAGAUUGAAUAUUACAUUUAAUCUAAUACUUAUCAAGAUAAGUAUUUAAUUUAAUAUUAAAAUGGUCAAGUUUGAUCUUAGUUGAACUCUCUAAACUUUCUCUAUAUAAAGAGAGUCUUGUGUCAUUAUUUUUUCACAGACUUGAAUUCAAGAGAAAGUUGUAGAGAAAAUUUGUUUUUUGAGGAAAUUAUUUAAGAAGAUUCAUAGAGAUAUUUGUAUUAUUUACAACUUGACCAAAAAGUUUAGAGAAAUUAAAAAAUUUCAUUAUUGGUAAUUUUGUGGAAAAUUUUCAAAUUCGAAGUGAGCACUAACUCAGCAGAUGUGAGCUUGAGAAUAGUGAAGAAGACUACUCGAUCGAAGCAUUUAUCCUAGACAAAUCGAAAAUAUAAAAUUUUGAUUAAGUGUUUAUUACUUUAGAUAUCACAACCAAGUUCAUGUUUUUGGAAAAAAAUUAAAACUCUAGUUUUUCCCUUAAACUUAUUUUCCGCUUCAUUUUCCAGCACUUUGAGUCAUCAUUUGUUUUUUUCACAUUCACCAUACCUCGGGAAGUCGAAGCCUGCAUCAAAUAUAAGUUUGAAUUCUUCUUCGCUCGAGCUACGACCAAGAAGCCUUUAGUCAAUUUUCACUGACCCUCACUGAAAAUGUUACGGAAACCAUCAUCAUCAAGCUUUCUUGCAGAAAUCAAAUUUAAACGAAUAUCCUGUGCAUGCAUAGCAUCUUUAAAUGUAAACUUGGUUCCAUUAUUAGUGACCAAGCUAACAUCUCCCAUGCCAACAACUUGUACCAAGCUAUCAUUACCCAUCUUCAAUACCCCAAAUUCACUAGAACUAGAAGAUGUGAUGAACUCCUUCCAUGAUGUAACACAAAGUGAAACACUGGUAUCUAUCACCCAACUAGUUUCAUUAAAUGCUAGGUUGAUCAAAUUCUCAUCACAAAAGGACUAACAUAUCAUUAGUGGUAGUGGUAGUAACACGCUCAAGUUUCUUAUUAUCCCUUCUCUCUUAUUUAACAUCACCGUCUAUAUUCUUUCUUUUCCAUUUUUAGCAAUACUUCUUAAUAUGGUCUUUCUUGUCGCAAUGAUGACACUCAAUAUUCUUAUAAAAUGAUCUCAACUUGCUUUUACUUUUUUCUCCAUCAUUUUCACCUUUGUCUUUUCUUCUAUUGCUAAAUUUUGGUAACUAGAACCUCAGAUUGUGAUGAAGAACCUUGAGACCUUCUUCUCAUUUCUUCAUUCAACACACCACUCUUAGCAAUUUCCAAGGUCACAAUACCUUUCGGAGAAACAUUAAUAAAUGAAACUCGAAACAUUUCUUAAGAGUUCGGUAAAGUAGCAAGCAACCAAAGCCUUGUAAUCUCAUCAUCAAAUUUAAUUCCCAUACAAAGUAGUUGAAUAAAAAAACCUUGAAACUCAUUCAUGUGGCUGACUAUAGAAUUUCCUUCAACGUCAUCAUUCUCUUAAGCAUGAGCAACUUGUUAUUUUUGGACUUCGAAGCAUACAAGUUUUCAAGCUUGUUCCAGAAUGUACCAUAUGUGUCUUUCGAUCAAUUUGGUUGUAGACAUUCUCUUCAACAAAUCGCCGAAUAAAAUCACACAUCUGUUGAUGCUCAAAUUCCCACUCUUCAUCAAUUUUUGACUCGGGGUUUUUGAGUAACAAAAACAUGAAAGUGCAAAGCUUUAACAAAAAGAAGACCUUUCAUUUUGUUCUUCCAAAGUUAAUAACUUGUAACACCUUCAACUUGGCCUAAAUUAUUGAGUCAAGAUCUCAAGUGUUACUACCCACAGUACAUAAAAUUUUUUUGAAACAAUUGACAAAUCCUCCUUACUUAAAACAUUUUUCUUAUUAUUUAAUUAAAGACACAAUUUUAGAGAAACAAAAGAAAGUAUUUAAAAAUAAAAAUAUUACAUCAGACUUGAUACAACUCAUUACAACACAAAAGGUUAUUAAAGACAGACUCUUAGGAUGAAAUCCUACAAUAUGCCACUUCCUAUUGUAUGCAUAAUAACUCGGUUCGUCGCUAUCUUGGAGUAAUCCUGGUUUCAUCUCUCCUGGUGCAUUCUUUUACUAUACUACCUAAAACAUAAACAUAACAUUUGUUAGUUUAAGAGAAUUUAGUGAGAGUUAAUACAAAAUAACUUAGUGGAUACUUUUAUAGUAUCUAAUGAAUACAUGUGCACCAACUACCAUUCUCAACAUCUUACUUCUGUUUCGGCAAAUGCUUUCACAAUUACAGGCUUGCACUUACACACUAACUAUCAUACUCUUAGCGUGCCAGUUCUCUCUUAACUACCUGAAUGACUUAAGGUCCUUCGAGACAUUUCAUUAAUCUCUUCUUUCUCUUAAGACCACAAAAGUAAUUUUCAAAAUAAUAUACCUUCAGAGCCCACUUUAUACGAACCAUCACUUCACACAUACACUUAUUCCAGAACAAUUGUUCAUAGAUAUUGUUUACUGGCGGAUUCUUACACCUUGACGGAUUCCCACAAUGAGUUGGAUACCAUUUGUUUACCAAAUUAAAUCAUUUUCUAAUUCAAACUCAUUACAUGCCUAUAUUGAUAAUGAAUUAUCCAUAUCGUUCAGAAUAAUUACCCAUAUCUUUGUUACAAAAUAGAAAUCUACCCAAGGUGACAAACAACUCAGAUUCUAUAAGAUUUCAGAGUAAAACAUAUUACUAUUCAGAUAUGGAGGAUAGCAGAUACUCAGAUUUUAGCACUAUAUAAUGCAAUCGAUCUCAAAUUGACAAUUUCUUAUGUCUUUCAUAACUACAAAUACAUCCAUAUUCAAAAUUAUCAGAUUACCAUGACGGAUGCCCCUUUUUUUAACAUACAAAUACACAUUGCUUUUUGAGAACUUCCUUAAAAGCUUAUUCGCUUACAUCACAGAUCUAAUUCAACCAAAUAAACUUCAGACUAAUCAUAACCUUAUCAUAACAACAUAAUUCACAGAACACUCAGAAUUUAUCCAAAACUUACUACAAGGGCGGAUAAUCAAAUUCUACCAUACAAACUUAGUAUAGUACGCCACAAGGGAAACAUACUGAAUCACAUGUUUACUAUAUUGACGGACUUUCACAGAAGGUGCCAUGGGUGUCUCCCUCAUGGACUUAUACAUAAAUUUCAUGUGUCGCGAUCUAUCAGUUCGAUCUACACAUUAUCGAAGGCUACACCAUGAACAUUCAUACAGUCAUAUCUUGCCAUGAGUCUCAGCCACAUGGAAUUACACACUUUCAUGUAUCGUGAUCUUCCAGUCCAGUCUUCAUUUUACUAGAGGCUACACCAUGAGUGUUUUCAUGUUAUAUAUUGCCAUGGGUCUAACCCACAUGGUUUUACACUUAUUUUCGUAUCGUGAUCUGGCAGUCUGGUUAGCAUUAUAACUUUCCUACCAGAGGCUUCACAAAAGGAACAUUACUUAGAAUUCACUUACUAGAUUGUUCACAUACCUGGUUGAUUCAUAAUUUUUCUUUAUGUUAAACUUUACCUACAUACUUUCCAAUCAACAUUCUUUUCAACAAAAAAUUAACAAAGCAUCAUAGCUCAUAUAUCAUAUUUACUAUUCUUCCUAUACUUAUCAAUUAUUAGAGAUGCUGUUAUCAUUUAUAUAUAUUUACUUUUACUUGAACAGUUUUCAUGCAAGAGUCAAGAUGGAGACUCACUUGAUACUCACCCACUCUAAAUAAAAGCUCCAUACUCAAACAUCCUUAUUGAACCAACAACAACAAUUGCUUUAAGAAUGUACGAUCACCAUUAAAAUGCAUUCACAAACAAAUUACUAUCAUCCCAAUCACUGGCAACCCACAUGCAAAACUUACUAUUCAUAUACCUCUUACAGACUUACUCUUUCAGAAUUUAGCAUGCAGAGCUAUAAUACUUACCUAGAGAUGGAAUGACCACGGAUUAAACCAAGAACCUUUACAUCCAACUUAAUGAGGAAGAGAUACAAUUGAAUUUAAGAAAAAGAAUCAGAGAGUAGCAUUUUGGAUAAAAAGGAGAACCUUUUUUUAGAACCCUUUUCACUCAUAUAUAUAACCUAGCCCUGCCUAUCAGAAUUCAACAAGUGUCACUUAAUUCAAAAUUUGUCUUCUUAAUGGCCUACAGAUUCCGAGAGAAACAUAAAUGAAAAUCAUGCAUAAUAGAUAUUAGAGCAGUCAAUCUAGUCGGCUCCUAACCAGGUCAUUUUAUAAUCCAACCAUCACAAUACUAAGACAAAUAGGGCAUACUAUGCAUUUGGCUAUAAUUCACACCAUAAAUACCAUUUCACUUAGAAAAAUAUUUAUCUUUUAAUAGCAGAAUAAUCUGAAAUGGAAAUCUUCACUUACUUACACGACGAUUACUAUAUGCCCACACAUAUUUGCCAAAGGAAACAAUUGUGCGGAUAACACUUCGCCAAACAGAUUAUUUCACUACUACACGCAUGAACCUUGGAUAUGCCAGAUUUUGGGUGUGACAUAACUUGUGUCAUUCAAAAUAAUCAUCUUAAUAGUGCUAAUUUCCACAAUUACCGAGCACAAAAAGUCCACAAAAAAUUCUAUUAUAAUCAAAGUCUUGCUACAAGAUCACAACCAAGCCACAAAAAAGAGUAUACAACUCAAACAAGGCUAUCAACAAAUAAUCUCAAGCAAACUUUAAGAGAAAAGUUGAGAAUAUCACCAAAAAGGGGCUGGCUUUGAAAGCUAAAAACCUAAAUCUACAGUAUCCCAAACGAAAAUCAAACCAUACACAUUAAAGAUCUUCGAGUCUUUUAGCUACCGUAAAAAAAUCAACUCCAACGAGCAUGUAUAAAAUUUUCAUGCCUAAAUCCAAAUCAAAUUUAAAUAAUUUUAAUUUUUUAAAAUAAAAUAAUUUUAUAUAUUAAUAUUUAUAUAUUUUACAAUUAAAUUUAAAUAAAUAAAUUUUAUUAUUAAAUUUUAAUUCAAAUUAUUAGAGACAACCAAGAAUUUCAAACAUAGACCAUAAAACGAAACAAAAAAAAUAACUAUUUUAUUUUUAAAUUAAUGAAAAUUUUCUGAAUACCAUUAAAAAAUAAAAUUUAAACCGAAUUUAGCGAGACAGGUAAAAUCCAAUUGGAGGUUCAAUAUGCAAAUGUGUGCAUUCGGUUCGUUAUAUAGCGAAGUGAACUAAAAGAGUAGAAAAAGAAGUUGAAGGGCAGACACAGAUCAUUGAAUAACCCUAUCCUCAGUUUCACGUGAUUGGCUAUUCGUCAUCACAUGUAUUUCAUUUUCAUUUAACCUUUAGAGAAAAAUAUAGCUUUAGUGAUAGUAUUUUGGUAUUGAUGUUAUUAAAAAAAAAUUAAACAACAAAAAAUACGAGUUAAAAACCUUUUAAAGGUUGUAGAUUUAAAUAGAUUUAAGCUUUUUAACCAUAUUUGGUAUAUUUGAUGGAAAAGAGGAGUGUUAUGUUAAAUAAUACUCUGUUUCAAAAUGAUGGAUAAAAAAUAGAUGUACAUCAAAAUAUUUGAUUGUUGAAAAUUGUGAUAUAUAUUACUCUUCUUACCACUUGUUUGUUUUACUUAAAAAAUAAGUAUUGUUUGUUGCGUCUUACAUUUAACAUCUUUAUUUUAUUUUAUUUUAUGUUUUUUCCUACUUUUAGCAUAUAUUUCAUUUUAUUUUCUUGCAUUUGAUUAAAAUUUUUAAAAUAAUAUAUAGAUUUCAUAAAAUUUAAAAAAAUUGCCUCAAAUUAUAUAAUUUAUAAGAUUUUAUAUAAAUUGAGAAAAAGAAUCUUAUUCCAUAUAAAUUUUUUUUAAAAUUUGAAUAGAAUUUCAACAAAUUUUAAUUUUUUUCUAAAGAAUGUAUAUUUUAUUCGGAAUAAAUUGUUAAGUCCAAGCAACACGAAAUAAAGGUGCUUCAAUCUAUUGAAAGCAAUCACAACAUUAGUAGAUAUUUUAAAAUCAACAAUAUGAAAAAAAAUAAUCCGAUAAAAGCAAUACCACAAGAAUCAACCACUUGAAAUAUUUUGUUGUUGAAUGAGGAUAAAAUUGGAACAAAAUAAUUAAAGUUGAGUAAAAGAUGAGUUAUAUUUAAAACAUAUCGUUACAUAGGUGAUAGCUAUCACCUAACUUAAGUAAAAAAGUCCCGUGACCUUGAUUUUUAUCAAGGCUACUAUUUACCAAUAGGUAAACAAAAGAAGAAGGUUAUGGUUAAAUGAAGAAAGAGAGGAGGAUCUUUAGGUUUGGUUAGAGAUCUCUUUGGAGAAGAGUAGAAUGGUUAGAGAAGAAGGGAUCAACAUGUAGUGUCUAUGAGCUAUUUGCAUGGCCCCUUUUAUAUUCUUUGCUACAUGUCCUAAGAUUGUUGAUGUGGAAGUUAGAUUUGAAACCAUUGGUAGUGACUGUGAUGUUACAUCCUAGGAUGAAACAUGUUAAGACAACUAGCAAUCAAUUACUUCGGGCCUCCUUGUGGUCCUUAUAUAGCUUUAGCGAAGGUGCAUAGUUCUGAAGUUUGCUAGGCUGUGGUUUGCAAACUAGCUGUGGGUUAUGGUAUCAUUGGUUCCAUUGGGAUACACAUGCCAAGCUCUUUAUGGGUGCUCUAUGAGGCUCUCUACAUAAGUAUAACAAUUUCCCCCAUAAGUAGUAAGGUUAUAAAAUGACCUUCACAAGCCUAGUGAAGAAUUCAUAGCAUCGAUGUUUGUGAUGGAAGUGUUUUGAAGUUUAUGAUUGUGUGUUAUACAUUGUUUAGGUGUUCUCAUUUUAAGCCUGAAUAUAUAUAUGAAAUUUGUAAUUUGAAUUUUUAUUAAUUGAAACUUUUAAGCAGAUUAAAUUUAUGGCGGGAGAAAUAAUUUUUAUAUGCACGUUUGUUUGUGUUCUUGGUGUAGUCUAGUUUGGUAUGUUUCAAUCACUUUAAUUUCCUUAUAUUGUUAUUUGAUUUUACUUUUACUGUUAGCAAAACAUGGCUCCCAGAUUGCUUAGUGUUCCUAUUGAAUGUGAGGGAUUUGAGUGUUCAAUGUCUAUAGAAGAGAAGUGGAAAUUAUUAGAAUGUAAAGGAAUUAUGUGUUUUAAUAAUUUCAAAUACAAAUGUUUUGAAGAGGAAGCAUCGAUUGAGUGAUAUGAACAAUCUUAAGAGGGAAAAUCUUUGGGUUAUUUUUCCCUCAUAUGUUCUUUAAGUAAGGUUUCAUCUACCACUGCAUCCUUUAUUCAUAGAAUUGUUAAAUUCAUAUGUGGUGGCUCUUGAGCAAUUCAUGGAUUCUUUGUGGUGGACUUUAAUAGUGUAUUUCUUAAAUUGUCAGCUACAUGGAGAAGAAGCUUCUGUAAAUGUAUUUAGAAUAAUACACAUUUUAACCUUACUAGUGAAAGUAAUCAAAAGGGGUUUGUAAUGUUAGCCACUUGGAAGGGAGGGAAAGCUGUUGUAGAUAACACCAACAUCAACAUGCGUUUAGUAAGGGAUAAACAUUUUAAAAUUGAGAAAACUUACGGGGAAUUCCAUUUUCCUUUGGCCUGGGUUAAGCCUUCCACUAAAAGAAGCACUUGGGGCCCUCAUUUAAUAAAUGUCAUAGAAGAGGGUCAAUUGAAAAAACUACAAACAAGUCCACUGAUUAGGUAUGAGCAAAUCAAAGCUUGAGAAAUGUUUGGAUUUUAUUUAAUGGAGAAAAGUCCUAAUGGUUGGGAGGAUGUGAAAUUUAAUACCCUUAGCGAAGUUUAAAUCGAUGGGAUAAAUCUAUGUAAUGAGGAUGGGCAUAUAAGGACAAUAGUGUAUUAACAGAGAUUCUCUUGGUUGAGCGCUUUUGGAUGUACCCACGUAAAAGAGUAGAAAUCCUGUACAAAAGUUGUUAAAUAGGCAAUAUCUGCAAGUAUACAGGUUAGGUUGUAAUAUAGUCACAACGAAGUAGGUGAGUACUUCGAGAAUCGCACCCAAGGGAGACGAGCACUAAAUUAAUCCUAACCUAAGCACAAAUAGAACUAAUUAGUACAUUAAAUAAAUUAUAUUACGACUAAACAUAAAGAGAAAGUUUUUUAUAACUAAAGAAACAAAAUAAUAAAAAUGGAAAAAACUUUGGGAAAUUUUCUAUGAUAACUUAAUCAAAUUUGAGCAUAGGUGACUAGCUCACUUCGGUAAUCAUAACCAACUGUUGCUUCGAGUUCCCUAUUCAAUCAACUAGUCAUUACCCUAGCAGGAUCUCUUGAUCUUCCACUAGAAUAACGAGUCAGCAAGAACUACUUAUCUCUCGACCUCACAGUCCAAACUAGUUUGGGGUAAAGGUGCUCACAGAUAGGCCAUACCAAUUUUGGGUUAAUUCCCAGCUAAAUGACUUCCUAGGGUCGUCAAGCCUAGGGUUUAAAUUCUUCCUUUCCCAAACAGCUGAUCUGCUAAGAAAACGCUGUACAACAAUCAAUUAAUCAUACCUCCAUUCACUAAUCCUCCACAAAAGGAUUAGUUCCUCAUGGAUCUCAAAAACAUAAUAAACUUGAUAUAAAAUAUGAACAUGAAGACUAAAUCAAGAUAUGGAGUUUUAAGAAAAGCCUGAAUUGUAUUUAAUUAAAGCACGAAAUCCAUAAAGAGUUGAUUGAGUUCCACAAAUUAGAUUUCCUGACAAAUGCACAACUGAAAAUAACCGAAAGCCUAAGAAAAGGAAAAAAAACUGAAACUAUAAAUAAAAAUAUACAAUAUGAAAAGCUCUCUAUAACAAGUGCUAAAUGAGCCUAUUUAUAGAGUUAGGGUUGUCCUCGUCCUCAACCAUUGGUCAGCUAAUGCUCUCAUUUUUAAUAUUUGUGCAGCCAAAAUGCCAUUGGCUCGUAAGUAUCUUUCAUACAGGACCGAUGUUUCGACACCCUAGUGCUUGUGCCGCAACAUCGAAGGCAAUAUGCUCGUACCUAGGGUAGCUUUAAGGGUAUGUCAUGACAUCCCUUAGUGGUGUCGUGUUUCUAAAGGCGGCCUUGGAGUUCUUGCUAUUUGUUCCCUAUGUUGCGACAUCAAACUCCCUAUGUUGCAACACAACGACUAGUAUUUAGUUGGUACACCUUUUAAUGAUCUCCUGCACACUCACAAAGUAUGUUAGCAUUCGACCUCUAAUGCCAAUAAGUGACUAAAAUUACACUUUUUACUGAAUGUAAACAAAACUAAGAAAACUUGAUUAAAACAUAAUAAAAAUGCUUGUAUUCAAGAUCUUUAAAUGUGAAAACUAGUUUAAUCUGCUACACUGAAUUACGGUAGAUCAUUGGGAUUAUGCGAAUAACCCAAAAAUUAGUUAUCUAAGUAUGCCUUUUGUCCCAAACGUAGAUGGGAUUAUCGAGGCCAGAAAGGAAAAAGUAGUGUCACUUCUAUAAGGAUUCCAAGUGUUUUAAAAGUAAAUAAAUUUUUGCAGGUGAUUGAAGCUUCAUGAAAAUUAUAGAUGUUACUUAAAAAUCAUCUGAAGAGAGUGAAGGACCUAAUCUUGAGCUUUGCACGAAAAGAAGAAGAGAUUCGUAUUCACAUUUACUUUCUUCUAUUGGAGAAGGCCCUUUAAUUGGAGAUGUGAUGAAUAUUGAGUCUCGCACAGGCUUUGAUACACAAUAUAUUAUUGGAGGUAUUACUUCAGACUUUCUAAUUUGUUGAGUUUAUUUUUUCAUGUUUUUGUAUUUUCUAAGCAAGUGAACUAUUAUAACCAAGUGAAUCAUUCUCUGUGAAAGUUUAAUUGGUUUGUGAGAUUUAGAGCCAAUAUUCAUCCCUUGAAUGUUUGAUUGGGUUGUGAGAUUUUUGAUGAAAUUCUCCGUGAAAGUUUUUGUAACAACCUUGUUUCGAGUGGUGUAAGAAAUACAUUUUUGAGACCUCAUUAUUGUAAACCAAUUUUAUAAAUAUUAAAUAAGGAUAUUUAUGGAGUUAUUGUAUAGAUGAAUUGAAAUUUGGUUAAGUAAUUUAGCCAAAAUUGUGGUUAAUUAAGUCCCAAGGACUAAAUUAUAAAAGUCCAAUUGCUAUAAAUUUUUAAUUAGGAAAUGACUGGGCGACUUAGAUAGCAAUUAUCCAAAGGGCCAAAAUGGUUAAUAAACAAUUUUGACUUAUGUUUUAGUGGACGGUAAUGAUUUAUGUCAAUUAAAUUAAGUAAUUAAACAUUAAUUAAGUAAAACAAUAUUUAAUUAAGUAAAUAAAAAUGGAUUAUCGAAUUAAACUUAGUAUAAAGUUUAAAUUUAGUGGAGAAUGGCAAUCUUUUUCAGUCUAAAACUGACCUCCAUGGCCAAGAGAAGCACGAAACUUUCAAAAACCCUUAAGACAUUUGUCCAUCCAAUUUCAAGUAUGUCCUUAGCCAUUUUUCUUUUCUUUUUAUGAAAAUUGAAUCAUGAGAGCUUGAUUUAGCUAGCCCACGUACUAAUUUGUGAAACUGUUAAAGUUUUAGAGAGUUUCCAUUGUUUAUUUCUUGAAGAAUUAGGUGUGAAAUUGAUAGAAAUUAAGCUUAGUUUUUGAAAAGGACUAAAUUGUAAAGCUUAAUUGUUAGUUACAUUCAUUAGGGACCAAAUUGAAUAAAAUGAAAAAUUAUUAUGAAAUUUUGGUAGGAAUAGAAAUUAUGAGGUCCCUAAUGAAUAUAUGUGAAAUCAGAUUUUAAUUCGAAGUUUUAUAUUGAAAGUUAUGCUUGUUAGAGGUUAAGGGCUAAAUUGAAGAAAUUACAAAAUACGUGUUGCUUUGUAUUUGAAUGCGAUUCAAAUGGAACUUGAUAUUGUGUUAUUAUUGAAUUAUUAUUCAUAGCUAAAGGCAUCAUUAGGCUAUUGAGAGGGAAAGGAAAAGCGAGAGCCGACGAUGAGUGAUGCGAGCUUUUAGAUUGUAUUUCUAUGAUUCAGGAUAAAUUUAGUUAUUGCAUAUUCAUGAAAAUUUUCAUUAUAUGGUAUUGAGGUGGGUUUUCAAUGGUUAUUUGAAUUGAAUUGUAAUGGUUGAGAUUGAAUACCGAGAUAAGGACUAAAUUGAAUAAAAUAGAAAUUUCAUAAAUUAAUUUAUAUAUGACAAUUGGUGUGAAUUUGUGAUGGAAUAUGCUAUAAGAUAUGAUAAAUUGAUGAUAAAUCAAGAAUGGUUGAAAGUGAGUUGAUCUAUAUAAAAAAACCAGAAAUUUGGUUACCUUAUUAGUUGUUCAAACUAAACUGGAAAUAGUUGGUAUGCCAUAGGGUCAGGAUAUUAUUGUUGGGCAAUCUAGGGUGGUAGACUGUACUUAUAGAGUCAUCUUUGCUGGGCAACCCGGGGUGACAGAAUAAUCAGAUUGUGAAAAGCAUCGUUAUCAAGCAACCUGGGGUGGUAGUAUAUACAUGUUCAGCGUCAUUGUUGCCAGACAACCUGGGCUGAUAGAUCUGUGUAUCCGUUCUAAGUCUGUGUUUGGUGAAUAGGGUUAUAAAACAUGAAUUGGCUAAUUUGUAUAUGAAAUGAGUUAAAAUGAGCCCCGAGGGCUGAUUGGUUAUGAACAAGUUAAUAAACUUGGAAAUGAUUGGAAAAGAUGAAAUGAAAUUGAGUAAUUGUGCUUAUAAUUGUUAAAUGUAUAUAGAUAAGUAUAUGUUUGCAAUUAUUUAUAUGAAAUGACUAUGUAAUAGGUGGAUUGAAUGAGAAAUGACAUGAUAAGUAUGAGAAAUAUGCUAAUGGAAACUUUUGACAUGAAAUUUGUAUAUGAAUUGGUGUAAAUUGAGUUUUAAAUUUGAUGUAAACAUUGAUUUAACUUAUAUUAUGUUGUCUUGAAUCAUGUAAAUACCAUUAAGCUUUAUCACUCAACGUAUGGUUUAUUUUCUUCAUGCGUAUGUAUAGGUAAUCCUCAAGAAUAUGAGAAGUGAUCCUCGACUCAGCAAAGUUUAUAUAGUCCCGUUUUGUUAAAUAUAUGGCAUGUACCUAGGUUGAGUCGAUUUUUGGUAUAAUAUGCUAUCUUGUGAUCUUUUUGAAACUAGAAUUGGUAAUUUUGGGUAAUGGAAAAACCAAAUAGUUGUAUAGAUUAUUUUGGUAUCCUUGAAAUGCAUGAGUUAAUACUUUAAAGCUAGUAGUUGGCAUGUGGUAAAUGUGUUUGGUAAACACAUUGGAAUGAUGUUUUGAUAUAAUGUGUAUGUGUAAGUUUUGUUCAUGCUUGUGAAUGAGCAUUAAGUAAUAAUAUUUUGCUUAUUUGAAUGAAAGAAAGAUUAGGUUGUGUAUUUGGAUUAUAUAGAAUAGGUAUCAAAUUGGACCUCUUUGGAAACAGUGAGUCAUGUCGUGAUGACGUACUCUCAGUGUCGCAACGAGAUCAAUUAGAGAGUUACAUCGUGACGAUUUAGAAUUGUACUGCAAUGAGGAAUCCCCAAAGUCAUGAUGUCAACUCAAUACUUUGAAAUCAUUACAAUUUGGUCCUAAGGUUAGCAAUAAAGCUUUUUUAAGCUCGUGUAAGACCCGAAAUUUGAUUACGUAUCAUAUAAUACACAUAUUUUACUUAUAUUUAAAUGUAUAAUGGUAUAAAUUGAUUUUAUUUAUUCGUAAUUGCUUCAGAAACGAAUGUGGCAUCUUGUAGCUUAGUCCCAGCGAUCGGGUCAGGUAUGGGGUAUUACAAUUUUAAUUUGUCCUCUAGAGUAGUUCUAGUAUGUGUUUCUUUUAUUACUUAUUUGUUUGCUAGAAUUUAUUAGUGAUUGUUUAUUUUUUAUACAAAGGACUUCCGCAGAGAUGGAAGUUCGCUUACAGGAGAUAAUGAGGGUACUUCCAUUAACUUUGAAGUCCUUAUUAUUCCUAUUGUGUCCACUGUACCUACUUCAACCUCUUUUACAACUCAACCACAUGUUCCUCUUCCUCCCUCAACAAGAUAUACUUCAACUGCUACAGCUUCGAUUGUUUCCAAUUCACUGAUCUUAGUCACUUUAGAUUCAGGCAUUAAAGAAUCAAUUACUAAAAGUCUAAGUGUCAUGAGAAGUUAACUAAUAAACUAGAGGCCUCCUGUUCCUCCCAAGGAUUAGGAACAGAAGGAAAAAAAAAGGUUCUUGCUUAUAAGAAAGCUAGCUCUAAGAGUUCAACCACAAAAAAUGAGGCCUCUUCUACUUUCCUUUCAAGUAGCUCUAUCCAAUUACUCAUGUUAUUCCUUCCUUUCGAUCAAGCAUUUGCAUUGAGUUUGCGCCUUUGGCUGGCUUAUCUCUAAGUUCGCAAAACUUACUCAAUAACUAUGUUUCCUCAAGUCUUUUUGGUAAUAAGUCUAUUGUUAUGUAUUAUUCGCUUUAUUGGUCUACCCAUUAUGAUACGAUCACAGCCCGGGAUAUUUCUAUUGAGCUGCCACAAUGGCCUAUAACUAGGUCACGAGCCAAGAAUUUUAAAGAAGCUUUGGCAACCUAUGAUGAUCGAGUUUGGAGUGAACAAGAAGCCGAUUCUAUUCAUCAUGAAAGGAGUAACCCAAUAGGCGUCACUUGCAAUUUAUUGCAAGUUGAACUGAAAUUUUAAUAAACUCAUCUUUAGUUAAAUAAAUGAGUUGUUCGACAUUUAUUCAACUCAUCUUAGUUUAAUUAAUAAGUGUUUUUUUGUUGAACUUUAUUUAAUAAGUGUUGCUCUUAAUUAAUCUAGUUAUUAGGAUUAUUUAUUGAAGCAUGAGUUAAGUUUAUUUAAUUAUGCUUCUUUAAAUUAACUAGUUGCUGGAAUAAUAAAUGCAUGAGUUUAGUUCAUUUAUUUAAGUUAAGUACUUAUUGUUGAUAUGUUUAAUUAGUGUUUAAUAUGCUUAAUAAGUUCAUUUUAAUGUUUUAAUUGUAGGAGUUUCUUCAGUUCACAACCGUUACAUUUCAAAGCUAUUACAAACUUAAAAGAAGUGACCUUUCAAGUGCUAACUAAACAAAAAUGAAGUAGCUGUUACAAAGGGGGUCAAUACACCAUUGAAGGACGUUUUAAAGAGCAUUUUAUACUCCUUAAAUUUGGCAGCAACCCUUUAAGCUACCUGCUGUUUUGUUUUUUUUUAAAAAGAAUAAAUUAAGCAUUCAAAUCCUCAUUAAGGAGAUGAUGUCUAUUCGGCUAGCCAUGGGAUAGCUCAAGAGUCAAUUUCAAGUUUUCAUGAACAUUCAUUCAGCUGAAUUGAAGAGAAUUCAAUGAAGAAGUUAUUUGUUUCAAGAAUGCCAAGAGUCUUGAUCUUUAAAUUAGUUUUCCUUAAUUAGCACAUUAAGUGAUUGUUUGUGACUAUUUGGCUACCCUAUUUUAGCACUAUAAAUAGGUGAAUUCAGAUUUUUUGUAAAUGAUACUUUUUGAUGAAUUUUGAAUGAAACUCUGUUCAUUUGGUGAGAAUUACUUUUCUCCAAUUUUGUUCAAAGACUUGUUGGCUUAUCUACAAAGCUAGUGGUGUCAACCCGUUCUUCGUUUUAUCCUGAACUUAUCACUUAAACAAGUGUGGCGUUCAAACCCUAUACUGAUGUUCCUAUCUUUCUAAAUAGUGGGUCGAGGUUUUGAUUGAAUUUCCUAUCCAACUUAUUAAACAUAUAAGUGUUGGGUCAACACUUAAUAGUGUUGGUUCUUACUUGUUUCUUGUGCCGUUUUAUCUCUUUCAUUUUAUCAAACCCGAACACUUCCAUUUUAUCCAUUUUCCCUUAACCUUUGUUAUUAUAAAAUGAUAUUGAGCCUAUAUUAUCAAACUUAUUUGUUAGCCAUUCAUUGGUUUCUUACUUCAUCGUAGAUGAUCAGGCAACACAAAUAAGACUCGACUCAACACCGAGGCAGAUCGUAUCAUUUGGUAUUAGAGCUAUUAAAAUGAGAAGUAUGGACUUCCGAAGACAACCCAGAAUAGGUUCGUGAAGUGCAAAAAAAAAUCAAGUUGUAUUCGCAAGUUUCUCAUUGUUUAUGAAGUAUUGAAAAAAACCAAAAUUUCAAAAAAAAGUGUUGGAAAUUUCCCGAUUCGCAAAGAAUUGAUUUUCUACCCCAUCUCUUCUACCUCAACGCCACACUCAACCCGAUUUUUCUUUCUUUGUUCAGCCUACCCUAUUCCUAUUCAUUAUUCCCUUUGUUUCCCAAAUUUGUGACCAACCCCUAAGCCUAUGAUUAAGCCUUGGCAAGUAUGCUUACAAAGUCACGAGAAAAGAAGAAGUGGAAAAAGGCAGGAGAGCGUGAGCACAAUAGAGAGGAGGUAAAAGCCAACAUACGAGUGCAAACGCGAGCGUGAAUGUUAUCAUUUUCUGUCUUUCCUAGUGAAUAUAAGGUUUGUUGUGAGGUUUUAAUUAUUAUCUUUCUUCAGUUUUGAUUUGUUUAAUUUGUUAUAUGUCACAAAAUUCUAAUCAAAAUAUGGAGGAGCGACAAGAACGACAACCUGUUUAAAAUAUUCCGGACCUUAAUCUUCAAGCCAUGUUACGCGAGGUGGAGCGACUCUUUGACCGGAAGGGUCCAAUGUGAUGUUCAAUGAAGAGAACAACGGAAUUGUGGCCAAAGAGAUCGGAGACGAGAAGAUGAUGAUCUCAAGAAUAUAAAGCUGUCAAUAUCUCCUUUUCAUGGUAAAUCUGACCCUAAGGCAUAUCUAGAGUGGGAAAAAACGAUUGAAUUGGUAUUUGAUUACCAUAACUAUUCUGAGAAUAAGAAGGUCAAACUAGCCGCAAUCGAGUUUUUUGAUUACGCGAUGAUCUGGUGGGAUCAAUUCACCACUAGUCGAAGGCGCAACGGAGAAAGGCCUAUUACUACCUGGGUUGAAAUGAAAGCGGCAAUGCGAUGGCGGUUUAUUCCUUCAUUUAAUCAUCGAGAACUUCAUCAGAAACUUCAAAAUCUUUCUCAAGGCACUAAAAGUGUAGAAGAUUAUUACAAGGAGAUGGAGGUGGCGAUGAUUCGUGCGGAUGUGCAAGAAGACCGCGAGGCAACGAUGGCUCAUUUUCUAGCUGGACUCAAUCGUGAUAUUGCUAACGUAGUCAAACUUCAACAUUAUAUUUAGGUGACGGAUAUGGUACACAUGGUCAUCAAAGUGGAAAAACAAAUGAAGCGAAAAGGUGCUACUCGAGGUUAUUCCACUACAAAUCCUUCAAGAUGGGGACAAGGCAUUAGCAAAAGUUUUCCAUCAAAUCGAACAAAGGAGUCCACGGUGUUGCCCAAAACAAACAAACCUUUGGCCGAAUCAAGCAAAGGAAAAGCCAUUGAGAGCUCGUCCAACCGUUCAAGAGAUAUCAAAUGCUUUAAAUGUUUUGGGAGAGGACAUAUCACUAGUCAGUGUCCAAACCAGAACACCAUGGUAUUGCGUGCUGAUGGUGAAAUUGAAACGGAGGGUGAAGAGGAAGAUGAGGCCGAAUUGAAUUCUGACGAAGAAGAGGAUUUAGAACACCCUGUUGAAGGAGAGUUGCUUUUAGUCAAACGAAGUCUAAGUCUUCAAGGACUGGAGAACGAGCAACAAAGAAAGAAUAUUUUCCAUUCGAGAUGUCAAAUCCAAGGUAAAAUUUGUAGUAUUAUUAUAGAUGGUGGAAGUUGCACGAAUGUGGCAAGUACUUUCAUGGUGGAGAAGUUAGGAUUGCCGACCACCAAACAUCCGAACCCGUACAAGCUUCAAUGGCUCAAUCAUGGAGGUGAGCUUAAAGUCGUGAAACAAGUUCUUGUUACUUUCAAAAUUGGAAAAUAUUCCGAUGAAGUUCUAUGCGACAUGGUGCCUAUGCAUGCAGGCCAUUUGCUGUUAGGACGACCAUGGCAAUUUGACCAGAGAGUGGUUCAUGAUGGCUAUACCAAGAGGUAUACCUUCAAGCAUUGUGGCAAGAAAGUGACACUUACACCGCUAACCCCGAAGCAAGUAUACGAGGACCAACUCAAACUCAAAACUUCUAUUGGAAAAAUGCAAGAAAAAUAAAAAAGAGUGCGAAUGGAAAAGAGAAGAAAAAUGAGAGAGCUCGAGGUAAAAUUUUAAAAGAAAGUGAAAAGCCAGCAAAAGAAGAAAAAAUAGAGAAGAAAAAAAAUUAAGAAAAUAAGCGUGUUUGCAAAAGUGAGUGAUGUUCGGAGAGCAUUAACUUUGAGGCAACCUGUAUUUGUACUCAUGUACAAAGAAAUUUUGCUGAACACUAACGAAUUACCCAAAGAUCUACCUUCUUCUAUGUUGUCUCUUUUAAAGGAAUUCGAGAAUGUUUUCCCUGAUGAAGUGCCUAGUGGAUCGCCUCCCAUUCGAGGCAUCGAGCACCUAAUCAACCUAGUGCCUGAAGCCGCACUUCCUAAUUUGCCUGCUUAUCGAACUAACCCAGAAAAAACCAAGGAGUUGCAAAAUCAAGUUGGUGAACUUAUGGAUAAAGGUUACAUUCGAGAGAGUCUUAGUCCUUAUGCAGUGCCGGUUCUACUUGUGCCCAAAAAAGAUGGUUCAUGGCAAAUGUGUGUUGAUUGCCAUGCCAUCAACAAAAUCACCAUCAAAUAUAGACAUCCUAUUCCUUGACUCGAUGAUAUGCUUGACAAAUUAAGUGGUGCUAAAAUAUUCAUGAAGAUUGAUCUUAGGAGUGGAUACCAUCAAAUUCGAAUGCGAGAAGGCGAUGAAUGGAAGACUGCCUUCAAGACCGAACACGGUUUGUAUGAAUGGUUGGUAAUGCCAUUUGGUCUUACAAAUGCUCCUAGUACUUUUAUGCGAUUAAUGAAUCAUGUGUUGCGUGCUUAUAUUGGAAAAUUUUUUGUAGUAUAUUUUGAUGAUAUCUUGAUAUACAACAAGUCAUUAGAAGAACAAGUUCAACAGUUGCAGAUGGUUUUGGAAACGUUGCGACAAGAGGUACUCUAUGCCAAUUUUAAAAAGUGUUCAUUUUGCACUAAUAAAAUUGUGUUUUUAGGUUUUGUGGUGAGUUUCGAAGGAUUGGAAGUUGAUCAAGAGAAAGUUCGAGCGAUUCAAGAAUGGCCGCGUCCAACUGGCAUUAGCCAAAUCUGAAGUUUUCAUGGGCUGGCUAGUUUUUAACGACGUUUCGUACCUAAUUUUAGUACAAUUGCUGCACCAUUGAAAAGUGUUAUUAAGAAAAAUUCAGCAUUUUAUUGGUCUGAUGAACAAGAAAAUUCGUUUAAUAAAAUUAAACAAUGUCUUGUUCAAGCACCUUUAUUAACACUUCCUAAUUUUUUUAAAACUUUUGAAAUCGAAUGUGAUGCUUCAGGUGUAGGAAUUGGGGCUGUGCUAACACAAGUUGGAAAAUCGGUGGCGUAUUUCAGCAAGAAGAUAAAUGGCGCUGUUCUCAACUACCUCGUGUAUGAUAAGGAAAUGUAUGCCUUAAUUCGAUCUCUUGAGACGUGGCAGCAUUAUUUGUGGCCAAAGGAAUUCGUGAUACACUCUGACCAUUAAGCCUUAAAGUACAUCAAGGGUCAACAGAAGUUAAACAAACGCCCUGCAAAGUGAAUUGAAUAUCUUGAAUCUUUCCCAUAUGUCAUCAAGUAUAAGAAAGGUAAAGAAAAUGUAGUGGCUGAUGCCUUAUCAAGGAGGUACACCUUAUUAUCUUAUCUUGAUUCUAAGCUACUUGGGUUUUCUUAUUUGAAGGAAUUGUAUGUUGCUGAUGAUGAUUUUGGAAAUAUUUUUGCUGCUUGUGAGAAUGGAUCUUUUGAGAAGUUUUAUAGGUACAAGGGAUUCCUUUUUAAGGAAGGUAAGUUAUGUAUACCCCAAGGCUCGAUUCGAGAAUUGCUUACGCAAGAGGUGCAUAGUGAAGGUCUCAUGGGUCACUUUGGUAUAAGUAAGACACUAUCUACCUUACAAGAACAUUUCUAUUGGCCGAGAAUGCGAAGAGAUGUUGCACGUGUCUGUGAGCAUUGUGUUACUUGUAAACAAUCUAAGUCCAAAAUUCAACCACAUGGUUUGUAUAUGCCGCUGCCCAUACCUGAAUUUCCUUGGACGGAUGUAUCCAUGGACUUUUUCCUUGGGUUACCACAAACAAAAAUAGGAAAAGACUCUAUAUAUGUUGUAGUUGACAGAUUUUCGAAAAUGUCUCAUUUUACUGCAUGUGCUAAGACAGAUGAUGCUAUUUAUGUAGCUAAUCUCUUCUUUAGGGAAGUUGUUCGUUUACAUGGAAUUUCAAGAACAAUUGUAUCCGAUCCCGAUGCAAAGUUUUUGAGCCAUUUUUGGAGAUCAUUGUAGGGAAAGCUUGGAACGAAGCUGUUAUUUUUGACUACUUGUCAUCCACAAACGGAUGGACAAACAGAGGUGGUGAACCGAGUAUUGACUACUUUGUUGUGUGCCAUCAUCCGUAAAAAUUUAAAGUCGUGGAAAGAAUGUUUACCUCAUAUCGAAUUUGCUUAUAAUCAUUCUGUUCAUUCUGCUACUAAGUUUUCUCCUUUCGAAGUAGUUUAUGGUUUUAAUCCAUUAACUCCCAUUGAUUUAUUACCAUUUCCUAAUGAUCAAUUUGUACAUGUAGGUGCCAAGAAAAAGUUCGAAUACGUCAAAAAACUCCAUCAAAAAGUGCAAGCUAACAUUGAAGCCCGAACUGAAAACUAUGUUCAAAGAGCGAACAAAGGAAGGAAACGAGUUAUUUUUGAACCAGGUGAUUGGGUUUGGGUUCAUAGGAGGAAAGAACGAUUUCCAGCUCAACGACGAUCUAAGUUAUUACCACGAGGAGAUGGUCCAUUCCAAGUUAUUGAAAGGAUAGAUGAAAAUUCAUAUUGACUUGACUUACCCGGUGAAUAUAACAUUAAUGCCAGUUUUAAUGUUGUUGAUUUGUCUCCUUUUGAUACAAAUUCCAACUUGAGGACAAGUCGCUUUCAAGAGGGGGAAUGAUACGAUGACAGCCCGGGAUGUUUCUAUUGAGCUGCCACAAGGGCCUAUAACUAGGUCACGAGCUAAGAAUUUUAAAGAAGCUUUGGCAAGCUAUGUGGAUCGAGUUUGGAGUGAACAAGAAGCUGAUUCUAUUCAUCAUGAAAGGAGUAACCUAAUAGACGUCACUUGCAAUUUAUUUCAAGUUGAACUGAAAUUUUAAUAAACUCAUCUUUAGUUAAAUAAAUGAGUUGCUGGACAUUUAUUCAACUCAUCUUAGUUUAAUUAAUAAUUUUUUUUGUUGAAAUUUAUUUAAUAAGUGUUGCUCUUAAUUAAUCUAGCUACUAGGAUUAUUUAUUGAAGCAUGAGUUAAGUUUAUUUAAUUAUGCUUCUUUAAAUUAACUAGUUGCUGGAAUAAUAAAUGCAUGAGUUUAGUUCAUUUAUUUAAGUUAAGUACUUAUUGUUGAUAUGCUUAAUUAGUGUUUAAUAUGCUUAAUAAGUUCAUUUUAAUGUUUUAAUUGCAGGAGUUUCUUUAGUUCACAACCGUUACAUUUCAAAGCUGUUACAAACUUAAAAGAAGUGACCUUUCAAGUGCUAACUGAACACAAAUGAAGUAGUUGUUACAAAGGGGGUUAAUACACCAUUGAAGGACGUUUUAAAGAGCAUUUUAUACUCCUUAAAUUAAGCAGCAACCCUUUAAGCUACUUGCUGUUUUGUUCUUUUUUUUAAAAAAAGAAUAAAUUAAGCAUUCAAAUCCUCAUUAAGGAGAUGAUGUCUAUUCGGCUAGCCAUGAGGCAGCUCAAGAGUCAAAUUUCAAGCUUGUGUCACGGGGCUAGACCUUUCAUCUCGCAAUCCGUGCGGCCUUAGGCGAUCCGUUUGCUCCAAACUCGCCCAAGUCAGCCUUAUCUCAAUGAGGAUUCUUUAAGAACUCCUCCAAGGCACCAAUUGAACAGCGAAAGCGAUUUAUGCCAAAAGAAGCUAAGCAAAAGAACAACAGAAAGAGCGCUCGCAAAGUGUUUGAGUAAAUGCUCUCUACUUCUCUUAUUCACAAGGAAUAAUGAAACAAUUCAGGAGUGAGUACAAAUGAGGGGGAGGCUCUCUAUUUAUAGUUGAGCUCCCCCAAAACCAACGAUUAAGAUACAAAUACAUCGACGGACGAGAUUAACCAUAUCCCUUUAUUUUAGGGAUUUACAAGAUAUGCCAUAUCAAAUCUAAUCUAAUCUUUACAAGAUAUGAUUCUCUCUAUCUUCUAAGAUUAAUUACCAUAUUAGCCUAAGUUGCCAUCUCUUCGCUAUCGGGCCAACCAGGCUUCAAUCUGACAGGCUUCUCCAAUAUCUCAUUGAAUCGGGCCAGUUCUCGUGGGCCAAAUGAUCCCUAUCUGAGCAAUAGACCUCCAUUGGAUGCAUUUGGUGCGAUGGUCACGGGCUUUUAACUGUGGCCCGUGACAUUCUCCCCCACCCAUUCUCGCAAUGCCCUCGUUGCGACUUCUGAAUGGUACUGACUUGAUUCGUCUCAAUCUCGUCUCGACGCCUUAGACUUUCCCUUUAUUUGGGACUUUUGCCUCAGCUUUCGUCGCUUCUUAACUCGAGCUGCCCUACUCAUUGCAUUUACUCUGGUCAACUAUCCCACAUGCAUCGCUUCCUUUUCAUUGAAGUCCGAUGCACCACCCACCUCUCCCAUAGGUGGAAGCCUUGUCGAUGACUCGGCCAACUCUGACGCUUCACUCAACUUGAGCCUCAUUGGUCCCAGCUUCCCUGUUUUCAUCGCAACUUUCUCUACUAAGUUUGAUGACAAACUUACCUCUUCCUUGGGUGGAAGCCCCUCCGACGACUCACCAAGCUUAGACGUUGCCUUUCCUUUGACUCCGGCUUGCUUUGGACAGUUUCGCAACUCAUGCGGACCACGGCACAAGAAGCACUUUACUCGUUUCUUUUUGCUCCUCUUUGCCCUCUUGGCUUCAGCUUUUCCCUUGCUCGAACCAAGCUUCUUGGGCUCCUUGUCUGGUCCAUCGUUACCUUCGAUGACAGGCUUCUUCGGACACUUCCGCAACCUAUAUGGACCCUGGCACAAGAAGCACUUCACUGGCUUCUUCUCACAUUCGGCCUCCUUGGCUUCGACACCCCUUGCGCUCGAACCAAGUACCACGGCCUUACCUACCGGCUUCUCCUUAAGCGCGGAUUUCUUUGGACACUUCUUCAACAUAUGUGGACCGUCGCACAGAAAGCAUUUCAGCUUGUCCCUUUUCCUCUUGGGUUUCUUCUUCCCAACUCGUGGUUUCCUAUUACCACUAUUGUCGCCGUUGCCAUUGCCAUCCAUACUAUCUUCCUUGUGAUCCAUUUCACAUACGCCCCUUCCCUCGGACUUGGAAGACCCAAGCUUGUCUUUCCCUUGACCAAGCUACACUAUGGAUUCAACUACCAUCAUGGCUUCCGACAGCUUUUGGACAUCUCUUUCCUCCACCUCCUGUCUGACCCACGACUUCAAUCCCUUUUGAAAAGCAAGCAAUGCUUCUUCAUCGGUCACAUCUGAAACUUGGAGCAUGAGUUCUUUGAACUCUCGAACAUACUCCCCCACUGUGCCUUGUUGCGUUAUCCCUUGCAACUUUGCCGAUGCUUCUUCCUCGGUAAACUCUAGGUAAAACUGUCCCUUCAAUUCGCAUUGGAACUCCUGCCACGUCCCAAUCUCUCCUUGCCUUUUAUCUGUGGUCCUACGUCGCCACCAUAAAAGCACAAUGUUAGUAAGAAACAUUGAAGCAGUAUUUACCUUAACCGCAUCAUCCAUGAUGCCUUUGGCACGGAAGUAGUGCUCCAUCCUCCACAAGAAAUUGUCCACAUCGUAUGCAGAUCUUGUCCCCGUAAACUCUUUCAGCUUUGGAACAUCCUCAUUACUGAGUGCUGCACUUGACCCUCCUUUCCCCACGGCUACUUGUCACAAGGCCAGCUCUCCCUCGAGCUCCUCUAUUCUUGUGCUCAAAGCCCUCGUCGUGGCAAUUGUUUCCUCCUUCAAAGCCAUCAUCAUGACCUCGAGAGCAUCAUUCCUCUCUGUCAGCUUCUUCCUUUGGGAAUCCAGCAACUCUUGCACGCUAUCCCUUUGGGAAGUAAGACCCAUGAUCAAACAGUCCCUGGACUGCUCCCUCAAGUCAUCAAUGCUUUCCCCAAGCGCAUUGUCUGACUCUUUGGCGUCCUCCAUGGACUUCUCAAGUUUACCCACGCGUUCUUCAACAGCUGACAACAUUUCCCUCAAAGACUUCCUCGCCCACCUUUGUUCGAACUCUUCUUUCGACAUCCCAACGGUGCUUUUGAACCAACAACUCAGAUAUCACUUGGUUCAAACCUUGGCUCGGAUACCACUUGUCACGGGGCUAGACCUUUCGUCUCGCAAUCCGUGUGGCCUUAGGCGAUCCGUUUGCUCCAAACUCGCCCAACUCAGCCUUAUCUCAAUGAGGAUUCUUUAAGAACUCCUCCAAGGCACCAAUUGAACAGCGGAAGCGAUUUAUGCCAAAAGAAGCUAAGCAAAAGAACAACAGAAAGAGCGCUCGCAAAGUGUUUGAGUAAAUGCUCUCUACUUCUCUUAUUCACAAGGAAUAAUGAAACAAUUCAGGAGUGAGUACAAACGAGGGGGAGGCUCUCUAUUUAUAGUUGAGCUCCCCCAAAACCAACGGUUAAGAUACAAAUACAUCGACAGACGAGAUUAACCAUAUCCCUUUAUUUUAGGGAUUUACAAGAUAUGCCAUAUCAAAUCUAAUCUAAUCUUUACAAGAUAUGAUUCUCUCUAUCUUCUAAGAUUAGUUACCAUAUUAGCCUAAGUUGCCAUCUCUUCGCUAUCGGGCCAACCAGGCUUCAAUCUGACAGGCUUCUCCAAUAUCUCAUUGAAUCGGGCCAGUUCUCGUGGGCCAAAUGAUCCCCAUCUGAGCAAUAGACCUCCAUUGGAUGCAUUUGGUGUGAUGGUCACGGGCUUUGAACUGUGGCCCGUGACACUUGCAUGAGCAUUCAUUCAGCUGAAUUGAAGAGAAUUCAAUGAAGAAGUUAUUUGUUUCAAGAAUGCCAAGAGUCUUGAUCUUUAAAUUAGUUUUUCUUAAUUAGCACAUUAAGUGAAUGUUUGUGACUAUUUGGCUACCCUAUUUUAGCACUAUAAAUAGGUGAAUUCAGAUUUUUUUGUAAAGGAUACUUUUUAAUUAAUUUUGAAUGAAACUCUGUUCAUUUGGUGAGAAAUACUUUUCUCCAAUUUUGUUCAAAGACUUGUUGGCUUAUCUCCAAAGCUAAUGGCGUCAACCCGUUCUUUGUUUUAUCCUGAACUUAUCAAUUAAACAAGUGUGGCGUUCAAACCCUAUACCGAGGUUCCUAUCUUUCUAGAUAGUGGGUUGAGGUUUUGAUUGAAUUUCCUAUCCAACUCAUUAAACGUAUAAGUGUUGGGUCGACACUUAAUAGUGUUGGUUCUUACUUGUUUCCUGGGCCGUUUUAUCUCUUUCAUUUUAUCAAACUCGAACACUUCCAUUUUAUCCAUUUUCCCUAAACCUUUGUUAUUAUAAAAUGAUAUUGAUCCUAUAUUAUCAAACUUAUUUGUUAGCCAUUCAUUGGUUCCUUACUUCAUCGUAGAUGAUCGGGCAACACAAAUACGACUAGACUCAACACCGAGUCAGAUCGUAUCACAUUAUUAUAUUUAUAAUUAACAACUUGAUAUGAUUUUUUUUCAUAGGUUCUACCUCUAGUAUAUCCACCAUAAUACACGUAGCUUCAAAGUGAUCUACUUCAUCAGUUGCUCUUUCUUUAACUUUUCCAAAUUCAUCAAUUCCUCCUUUUAUUGGUGUUUUAAAGGUUUCAACAAAUUCUAUUUCUUUUGGUGUUCUCUCAACAUUUGGCAGAUUGAUCUGUCGUAAUUUGGUGUAGCAGAUUAAACUAGUUUUUGUACUUUAGGAGCUUGAACAUAAACAUUUUAGUUGCAUUUUAAUUACAUUUCAGUAAGUUUAGUUAAGCUUAAUAAAUGUGUAAAGUGAGUCUUUUAUUUAGCUUAGGGUUGAAUGAGGCCUACGGGGAAGCUAAUAUACUUUGUGUGUGUGUGCAGGAGACCAUUAAAAGGAGUAUUAACUUAAUACUAGCCGCUAGGUUGCAACACGGAGCAUGCGAUGUCACAACAUAGGAAGUAGAAUAAGAAAAGUCCAAGACUACCUUUAAUGUCGUGACACAGCCUGAGGAUUUUACGACAUACCCUUGAAGACACCCUAAAGCUGAGCAGACUACCCUCGAUGUCACGACACUAGACUUGAUGUGUCGCGACAUCUUUUCCGUACAGGAAAUUAAUACGAGCUAGGGUCUUUUUGGUCUAUACAAUCUAAGUUUAAGCUUGGGAACCUCACUUGUCCUAGGUUUAUGGAUGACGGCCAUUCUAAGUCUAUAAAUAGGCUUAGCCAACACAUGUUAUGGACACUUUUUCACUUUGUAUAAUUUUAUCCUUAGAUUUAGAACUUUAGAUUUUCUCUUUUCUUAGGUUUUAGAUUUUCGUUCUUGUUAUUUACUAUCGGGAAGAAAUUAGAUUCUGGAAUUAAUCUCAAACUUUGUGAGGAUUUUGCGCUUAAAUUCAAUACAAUCAGGUUUCUUCUAAACUUUAUUCUUGAAAUUGUUCUUCAUGUUCAUUUUUUCAUUCAAGUUUAUAUUAUUUAUUAGAUCCAUGAGGAACUAAUCCUCCUAUAGAGGAUUAGCGAGUGGAGGUAUGAAUAAUUAAUUAUUUUGUAGGAAUUUCUUAACGGACCAGUUAUUUAGGAAAUGAAGAAUCGAAACCUUAGGCCAAACAAUCCUAAGAAGAAAUUAAGGUGGGAAUUAACCAAAAUUUGGUAUGGCUUAUCCGUGAACACAUUAACCCUGAACUGGUCUUGACCGUGAGGUCAAAAGAUAAGUAGUUCUUGUUGACUUAGUAUUUCAGUGGACGUAUCAGAAGAUCCUGUUGGGGUAUUGACUAGUUGAUUAAACAAGAAAGCCCAAGAUGACAAUUGCUUAUGAUUAUUGAAGCAAGCUAACCACCCAUGCCCAGAUUUGAUACAUAUUUCCUUAUUUUAUUUCUUGUUUUUUUAUUUAUUUAAUCUUCUUUUAUGUUCUUAGUAUAGUUUAUUAAAACCUUUCUUUUUCUCUUUCAUACUAUAAUUUAAUUAAAAUAUUAAAACAUUGGGUACAAUCCUCGGAGUACUUACCUACUCCGUUGUAACUAUAUUUUAACCUAACCCUUAUACUUGUAAAUACUGGCUGUUAUAUCUUUUGUGUAGGAUUUCUACUCUAGAUGUUGGUACUUCUGAAGGUGGUCAAGUUGUUAGCGCCAUUGCCGAGGAGGCAACGUCACUAUAUUGGUUUUAAUUUUUGCAUAUUUAUAGAAUAAUUAGGAAACAUUUGGAUUAUAGCUAUGAUUUAGUUAACAUUACUAACACUUUUCUGUUCUUCAAAGAAUUCUAGUACCUACUCUUGUCUAAAGUAUCGACAACAGUAAACACCGAAGUUGAUCUAGCAUAAAUAAUGGAAAACUUUGAUUAUAUAUGGUUGGAUGAGAAUUUAGAUUAUGAUGAUGACAUUUAUGAAGAAUGGGAGAUCCAAGAGAACCAACGAUUACUGAUGCUUGAAUUUAGUCAACUCUGAGGAGAAACUUUAACCCCUUUCCUAGAUACCACUAGCAUCAACACAAAUCUUGUAAGACAUUAAGGUGAGCAAAGUCAGGGACUAAACAAGGGAGAAAUCUUAAUUGUAGAUGCUUGUAAGGAAAGGGAAUUCUCAAACAGCAAUUUGAUCUUGCAUAUAGAAGAACACCAGGAUGGAUUAGAAGGAACGACAUUAUGAGAAGCUAUAGAACUAGUUGAGGAAAUGGUGAGCAGACAACAUAAGCAAUCAGGUGUUGAAUUCAUCUCGCCAACGACAUUAGGUUCCAUUGAGUGGAACAAUGUGCAUGAUCAGGACAUUUUAGAUCCACCUCAACGCUCGGAGCUAAAGAUAUUCACUGCCAAUCUAGUGGAAGAAUGCCCAAAGACUAGGAACCCUGCGAGAAAGAACGAGGGCAAACAUGCACUUUCAGGGGAAAUAUUUAACUUGAAUGUAAUUUUUUUUGUAAGAUAGUAAUCUUUAAUCAGAAGCCCCAAAAUUUUAAUGACCUAGGGAUCUUCUGGAUGUUGACAAAGAUAAUAUAUAUAUCAACAGGACUUAUGAUCACAUGACAAGCAUCAUCCAAACGAUCUCAUUGGUAAGCACAGAAACACCGAUAGAAUAGUAAUAUGGCCUAUAGAAAAACUCGAAAGCCUCUAGAACUGGGAUCCAAGUUAUGUGGUACCGUAUGGCACACUAAUAGAAUGUUCAAGGAAACUCCUAUAAUACCAUUUUUGUUAGAAGAAUUAUUUAAGUACUUUAUGCAUAAUAAAUAUGACCAACAACACCUGUACCUUUUGGAAAACAAGGACGAUAUGAUGGUUGUGUUGUUCUUUAAUUCUACAAGUUAUUAAUAAUUAUGAUCUAUGAAAGGAAUUAUAGGUGGUCAGUGUAGGUCGAAAGGGUAAACUCCGAGAGUGGGAUAAACAAAGAAGAAUAGAAUGGCACAAUGGGUGUUGGAUUAAUACAAUAGAAACAAACUAUAGGAAGCACCCAAGGGUGUACUAACCGAGCUGAUGGAUGAGUCCGGUAGCAAACCUAAAAUUUUUAUGUAACUUUACUAACUGUACAAAAAUGUAUAUUUCGCUAAUGAAUGAACUGAAAUGUUACAGGAAGAUCAGAAACACGGCUAACAGGCGCUUGAAGCACUCUGAAGAUAAAAAAAAUGGGAAAAACAGAGUCAAUGUCCCAACAUGUUGACCUCGUGUUACAAAACUAUGUCCAGUAGUAAGGAAUCACAACAUUCAUAUCGACUUUGCGACACCACUCUUUUGUGGUGUGACAUGGAGGAUAGUUUCCUAGAAUUUCAAAACUACAAGGUGUGUUACGACAUCGGGGAUAUUAACAAGUUGAUAGGGAUGUCAUGACAUGAAAACCCUGUGUUCCGACAUAUCUACAAUUUUUUCGCAGGGUUGACACGACUCGUUCACUCAACCCGGAUGCAUAACUCUGACUUCACCCAGUUUUUAAACCUAAAAACCCUUAUUUUUAACUAUUAAACACCUUAGGUCAAACUCUUAACCUAUUCUAAACAUCACACCCUUUUACAACCCCUCAAUCUCCAAAAUCCUUUUUCAUCCCCAAACCCUAACUACACAAAACUCCAUUGUUAUUCCUAAGGCCAUGUUUGGGUGAGAUUUCAUCAAGCACUUAGAGAAGCAGCAGAAACAAUUGCAAGGAGGUCAAGGUUACGUGGUCCUUUACUCGUUUUACUAUUCCAUUGAUUUUUUUAUUUAUUUGAUUACUUUAAAGUUGAACAAUAGAAAAUGCCUCCUAAAAAGAGUAAUAAAAAUACAGUCCAAGAAACUCCAAUAGUUUCGGACCGUACAAAAUUUGAGAACCCAAAUACUAAAAAAUAUUUUCUUGAGUUAUAGGGUGAGCCUUUCAUCCAAGAGCGAGGGUUCGAAUCUUUAAUGGCUUUAAGCAAUGAAAUCUGAAGUUUAGUUAGAUACCCUCGUUGGGAGCGAUUCUAUAUCACUCCCAAGGAAACCGCAAUAAAUUCAGUUGUGUAAGAAUUCUAUGCUUCCUUUAGAGACCAAGAAAUACGAAAAAAACAAAAUUGGGAUACAGUAAUAGUGAGAGGAGAAGAAGUGCCCAUUACUCCAAGGGAAAUUUGUGAGUGCUAUGAUAUACCCUAUUAUAUCGGAGACUUCUUGGAUAGUACUGAUUUCGAAAAUUUUAAGGAUAUAGAUAUGGAGAAUGUUAUUAAGUACUUAACAUAUGGUAGAGGUACAUGGAAUUUUAGACCAGAUUUAGAUUUACCGACUAGUUUCAAUCAGGCGAUAAUGUUCCCAGUAGUGAAAAUGUGGAUGCAGUUCAUAGGUACUAGAAUUACACAUGCAUUAAAUGUUUCUAACAUUAAUACUUUUCGAGCUAUUGUAUUGUAUGGAAUUUUAUAGUGCAAGAAAAUGUGUAGGUAAAUGGAUUUACCGUGAAAUGAGGCACUGUGCACAUAGCCAAAAAGCUAGAAUUUUCUUUCCCCCUGGUGAUAAAACUAUGUCGACAGGAAAAUGUUCCAAUGGGUGAAAAUGAGUAGUUCAUGAAACCAACAAAAAGCAUCAUUGGAGACUAAUUGUACACGUAAUACGUCAAGCUUCAAAGUAAACAGAUCAUGAAGUGGAAUCAGAGAAUGAAAAAAAGAUGGAUAUCUCGAUUUCACUUAAACAGAAAGAGAAAUCAAAAGCUCGAAGAGGGACAAGUGGGAUCACAGAGGAAAAGCUCAAAGGACUGAUCCGUUGGAUGCAAGAAAUAGGGGCAGUACUUCAAGAAUUUGAAAGGAUGAAUGGUUUGUGAGCUCCAAAUUAUCCAUCUGACAUGUUUGGCCCUGCACCGACAUACCAUGAUAAGGGAAGAGAUAAGACGGAAGCAGACUCCGAAUAUGAAGAUGAGGGGGAUGUGUAGGAUUCUCCAUGAGCUGAGGAUGAGUAUGAGGUGGCAUUCUAGCAGCAAUAUUCCAUGCCAAAAGGGCCAAUCAUCCAAAGCCCGACCCAACAUUCACAUUCAACAGGUAGGAGCUCCCACCAAAAAUAUGGUUGGGGCAAGAGAAAAACACCCAUGGGACAAAGGCAUACACCUCAGUUCGAUGAUUUAGAGGAGAAUUAAUUUAAAAUUUUAAUGUUUUUAUAAGAUUGUAUUAAUUUUUGGAUGAUUUUAUUUUGAUUUUAGGGUAGGAUUAAUAGUAAAUUAUAAGUUUUUUUGUGUCAUGUUCUAAUUUUCUAUGUAGGAACCCCACCUAGAGGAGCCACAAUAUUAGAGCUUGCAAUGAGGAAUGGAGGAAGCAC